GGUCUUCUCAUGCAUGGGUGUGGGUGUUGGUUAGCUUAACUGUUAAACGUUAGAGACAUAAUCCUCCAUUAGGCAAGAUUGAAUCUUUGAGUUAAGUACAUAGGUUUGGGACAAUUAUCAACUCUUGAGCUAGUAUUUGAGUAUGAGUUAAGUCUUUAGGUUCCUAUAAUAAAAGUCUGGUAUUCAUAUAAGGGUAGUACAAGAGGAGGGGUGUGUGGGGGGGGAGAUACGUGGUAUUCAAACCCUGCUCACACGUGUGAAAAAUGAAUUGUGUUAUCAUCGGGCUAAUUAUAUAUUAAAAAAACAAAAAAGUCUAAUAAGCCACUUUUUUUUUUUUGACAAGCCACUUAAUACCAUAUAAGUCAACUACAUGAAUUAAGAGAAAUUGCACAUACCAAUGGCUGACAAGCUGGUGAUAGCCAGCAUCAUGAGCAAGGACAUGAGCUUUGGCUAGCUUCCAAAGCCAGCACUCAGUAGAGUGCCAAGAAGGUAAAAACACUUGUUUCCAUUGUGGCUUGCCAUUCAUUGGAGGCCGAGUGAGCUCAAUAGCUAUUGGUCUCAAUGUGCCGGCUGGUGUUAGGAAGAAAAUUGUGCGAGAUCCAUACAACGUUGUGCUUUUGAGUUGUCUCACUUUUUCCACAUAUGGUAAAAAUAGGUCAUGGUAAUCUAAGAUGAAC
rnacentral:lncRNA from 1 species